rnacentral:rRNA from 1 species
UACAGAGGGGGCAAGCGUUGUUCGGAAUUACUGGGCGUAAAGGGCGCGUAGGCGGCCUUCUAAGUCGAACGUGAAAUCCCCGGGCUCAACCUGGGAAUGGCGAUGGUGACUGCAAGGCUAGAGUUUGGCAGAGGGUGGGGGAAUACCUAGUGGAGAAGUGAAAUUCGUAGAGAUUAGGUGGAACACCAGAGGCGAAGGCGCCUGCCUGGCCAAACAUUGACGCUGAGGCGCGAAAGCGUGGGGAGCAAACAGG